GUGAGGAAUAUUGGUCAAUGGGCGAGAGCCUGAACCAGCCAAGUCGCGUGAAGGAAGAAGGUUCUAUGGAUUGUAAACUUCUUUUGUAAGGGAAUAAAAAAGAGUACGUGUACUCUAUUGUAUGUACUUUACGAAUAAGGAUCGGCUAACUCCGUGCCAGCAGCCGCGGUAAUACGGAGGAUCCGAGCGUUAUCCGGAUUUAUUGGGUUUAAAGGGUGCGUAGGCGGACUUAUAAGUCAGCGGUGAAAGUUUGCAGCUUAACUGUAAAAUUACCGUUGAAACUGUUAGUCUUGAGUGUAAAUGAGGUAGGCGGAAUGUGUUGUGUAGCGGUGAAAUGCUUAGAUAUAACACAGAACACCAAUUGCGAAGGCAGCUUACUGGGAUACAACUGACGCUGAGGCACGAAAGCGUGGGGAUCAAACAGGAUUAGAUACCCGUGUAGUCC
rnacentral:rRNA from 1 species